rnacentral:rRNA from 1 species
UACAGAGGGUGCGAGCGUUGUCCGGAAUCACUGGGCGUAAAGGGCGCGUAGGUGGCGGCCCAAGUCCAUGGUGAAAGCUCGAUGCUCAACAUCGAGUCGGCCACGGAUACUGGGUUGCUCGAGCACUGUAGGGGCAGAUGGAAUUCCGGGUGUAGCGGUGGAAUGCGUAGAGAUCCGGAAGAACACCGGUGGCGAAAGCGCUCUGCUAGGCCGCAACUGACACUGAGGGACGAAAGCUAGGGGAGCGAAUGGG